UCGGGCGGCACGCCGAAUCCUGCCCCGGCCGACGGAAAUCAAACCAAUGGCAGGAUCGGGGGAACCACUUUUCGGGCGUCGCGUAUCAGACGUCCUCGGGGUGAAGCCGCAGAACGCGGCCGGGCAGUCCCAGCCCGAACCCGACAGCUAACCUCGCAGGCGUGGGGAAGGGCAUCA
rnacentral:sRNA from 2 species